ensembl:snRNA U6 U6 spliceosomal RNA
GUGCUCACUUUGGCCACACAUAUGCUAAAAUUGGAACAAUACUCAGAAGAUUAGCAUGGCCCUUGCACAAGGAUGACACACAAAUUUGUGAAGCAUUUCAUAUUUUU